rnacentral:lncRNA from 1 species
AUAUUUUACUAAGUUGAUGACUAAGCUAAGUCUUUUUGGUGAGGCUUAAGUUAAGUAAACUUGGUGACUAAUCUAACUUAAUGGCCAAGCUAUGCAACUUAGUGACAAAUGGCUAAUAGUAAAGUUCAACUGGUGUCGAACUAUGGUGACUUAGUAACAAAUGUCAAAAGCUUAAGCAAACUUAACGAAACAUGUCAAAGUUGUUUUGUGAUUAAGCUUUGUGAAUCUCUCCUAUAAACAGACAUUUUACAUCUCCAUUAAGAACACACUCACUCACAAACUCAUAAUAUAUAAGAAUCUUAAGGAUUAGCUUCCACAUUCAAAGUUCCAGCAAUACCUUAAGUCUUUCAAUGUAAGUCUCAAAAGUAUGGUGUGGUCGUUAAGUUCGUAGAUUUUGUUUUGAGUGAUGCAAAACAGUCUCAUGUGGUUUUAUCUUAGGACUCAAAAAUCGUACAAAACCUCUCA